rnacentral:rRNA from 1 species
UAGUAACUGCGAGUGAAGCGGGAUGAGCUCAAAUUUAAAAUCUGGCGUCUUCGGCGUCCGAGUUGUAAUUUAGAGAAGCGUUUUCCGCGCCGGACCGUGUACAAGUCUCCUGGAACGGAGCGUCAUAGAGGGUGAGAAUCCCGUCUUUGACACGGACCCCCGGUGCUCUGUGAUACGCUCUCGAAGAGUCGAGUUGUUUGGGAAUGCAGCUCAAAAUGGGUGGUGAACUCCAUCUAAAGCUAAAUAUUGGCGAGAGACCGAUAGCGAACAAGUACCGUGAGGGAAAGAUGAAAAGCACUUUGGAAAGAGAGUGAAACAGUACGUGAAAUUGUUGAAAGGGAAACGCUUGAAGUCAGUCGCGUCCGCCGGGAUUCAGCCUUCGGGUGUACUUUCCGGUGGACGGGCCAGCAUCACUUUCAAUCAUCGGACAAGGUCGAGAGGAAUGUGGCACCUUCGGGUGUGUUAUAGCCUCUUGUCGUAUACGGUGACUGGGAGUGAGGACCGCCUUUGUAGGAUGCUGGCGUAAUGGCUUUAAACGACCCGUCUUGAAACACGGACCAAGGAGUCUAACAUGCCCGCGAGUGUUUGGGUGGAAAACCCAUGCGCGUAAUGAAAGUGAAAGUUGGGAAGGCUGUCGCGGCCUGCACCGACGCCCGGACUCGAGAUUUAUCUAAGGUUCUGCGGUAGAGCGUGUAUGUUGGGACCCGAAAGAUGGUGAACUAUGCCUGAAUAGGGUGAAGCCAGAGGAAACUCUGGUGGAGGCUCGUAGCGAUUCUGACGUGCAAAUCGAUCGUCAAAUUUGGGUAUAGGGGCGAAAGACUAAUCGAACCAUCUAGUAGCU